rnacentral:rRNA from 1 species
AGUGAACGCUGGCGGUAGGCCUAACACAUGCAAGUCGAACGGCAGCACAGUAAGAGCUUGCUCUUACGGGUGGCGAGUGGCGGACGGGUGAGGAAUACAUCGGAAUCUACUUUUUCGUGGGGGAUAACGUAGGGAAACUUACGCUAAUACCGCAUACGACCUACGGGUGAAAGCAGGGGAUCUUCGGACCUUGCGCGAUUGAAUGAGCCGAUGUCGGAUUAGCUAGUUGGCGGGGUAAAGGCCCACCAAGGCGACGAUCCGUAGCUGGUCUGAGAGGAUGAUCAGCCACACUGGAACUGAGACACGGUCCAGACUCCUACGGGAGGCAGCAGUGGGGAAUAUUGGACAAUGGGCGCGAGCCUGAUCCAGCCAUACCGCGUGGGUGAAGAAGGCCUUCGGGUUGUAAAGCCCUUUUGUUGGGAAAGAAAAGCAGCAGGUUAAUACCCCGCUGUUCUGACGGUACCCAAAGAAAAAGCACCGGCUAACUUCGUG